UUUUCUCUGCUAGUGAGAUUAUUACAGAAUCAAGGCCAAAUGAAUGUCAGAAAAAACAGGACUUCAAUAAAGGAAAUAUCUAGAAGCUGAUAUAAAGGAUUUUAAAGAACAUAGAUCCAGGCCUGAAGUCACCACAGGAAAGAGAUGUAGCAGAAUGGAACCAAAUCAACCAACCAACCAAUCAACAAGCCAAUCAAAACUCCCAAGACUUCUGCUGCUGUUCAGGAGAGAUGCCGGACUUGUAUCAAAUCACUUCUUGCCGUUGUGGUUUUCAGAGCAGGUCGAACAGCCUUGUGACUGGUCCUGUCUCCCAUGGCCUUGGCAUUGGACUUCUAUUAAAAGAGACGUGUCUUCCAUCUGCUGGUUCACUCCCCAAGGAGGUAUGUCAUGAAAAGUUGUGCAGCUGCCUCGCAGCUUCCGUGAGCAGGAAAAAGGACCUGGAAUUUCAGAAGAGACUGAGGCUCCGUGAAUACAGACUGCUGCCUGUGAUGCUCUGAGCAGAGAC